ACUGUGCAGCUGAAUGGCCGCACCUAUUUUGUAAUAGUGUGGACAGAUCGAAGCUUCUCCUGCUCACAUGGUGUUUAACUGUCUGUAAUUAGUGCAUGCAGGAAAGGGGUUGAUGGACCCCCAGUUCCUAUAGCACAUGGCCUGCUGGACUGCCUGCUUCUGUUUCUGCUCCAUGAGCCCAUGGUCCGUCCCGACCUUCUCCAGAUACGAGGCCUAGUCUCUAGGCUGGAGGCUGUGGCUCAGACACUCCGCAAGUCGGAACUUGUGCAGGACCCGCUGCUGCAGGGCAGGGGCAAAGGUCAGGAAGAGGAGGGCCUUGUGCUGAUGGACAGGGUCACACGUGUCAGUGAAUACCUGCAGGACAGGACACGGACUUUGUGCACCCUGCUGCAGGUACAGUGUCAGCUGGAGGCGAGCGUGCGCGUGGCACAGGAGCAGCUGCAGCAGCGUUGGGUUCGGCUGGAGGAGCUCCAUACCAGAGUCACCCUGAGCCCCGCGCUGAAGCAGAGCCCUGAGGACCCCAGCACUGCGCUCUCGGACACGGAGGUGAGGCACACCCUGCAGUCAGGGGAGGGUGUGGACAUCCCUUAGUAGAACUAGUGGGUAACCAGAAGACCACAGAGUCACAUGUUCAAACCCCACUUACUACCAUCGUGUCCCUGAGAAAGACACUUAACCCAGAGUGUCUCCCUGUAAAUACUGACUGUAAGUUGCUCUGGAUAAGGGCGUCUGAUAAAUCCCAUAAAUGUAAAUGUAUAUGUAUAUAUACUCUUUGGUCUCACUAUCUGCUUGUAUAAAUGUAGUGUCUUGGAACAGAACUGCAGCAGCUGAAAAGUACCAUGCAGCAAUGUGAGGCCCACCUCAAUGCAUGCUCCCAAAUCCUGAAGGUGACAUAUUGGCACAAUUACACACACACACACACACACACACACACACACAGUCUUACAUAUAGUGCAGCGGGACCAGAGCUCAGAUGUGAAUCU
rnacentral:lncRNA from 1 species